rnacentral:lncRNA from 1 species
GGUAGGUCAUGGAUAAAUUAUCAAAUCUCAACAUCGAUCAUAUUAUAGAUUCAAUCAGCUUAAGUCCAUAUGUGACUUUAUGAAAACUUCUUUUCAUUAAUCACACUACUAUGGCCAUAGACUUAAGUACUCAAUCUCUUAAAUCCUAUAGGACUACUCCCUUCUGUUAGGGUCAAUAGAUGCCAUCUUGAUGCACACCUUACUCCUAUAGUGGACCAACUGUCACCAACAUCUACUAUAAGGGCUCCU